rnacentral:rRNA from 1 species
ACGGGGAGCACCACAACGGGUGGAGCCUGCGGUUUAAUUGGACUCAACGCCGGGCAGCUCACCGGAUAAGACAGCUGGAUGAUAGCCGGGCUGAAGACUCUGCUUGACUAGCUGAGAGGAGGUGCAUGGCCGUCGUCAGUUCGUACCGUGAAGCAUCCUGUUAAGUCAGGCAACGAGCGAGACCCACGCCAACAGUUGCCAGCAUGUCCUCCGGGAUGAUGGGGACACUGUUGGGACCGCCUCUGCUAAAGAGGAGGAAGGAAUGGGCAACGGUAGGUCAGCAUGCCCCGAAUUAUCCGGGCUACGCGGGCUACAAUGGUCAGGACAAUGGGUAUCGACACCGAGAGGUGGAGGCAAUCUCCUAAACCUGUCCUUAGUUCGGAUUGUGGGCUGCAACUCGCCCACAUGAAGCUGGAAUCCGUAGUAAUCGCGUUUCAAAAUAGCGCGGUGAAUACGUCCCUGCUCCUU